GAUGAACGCUGGCGGCGUGCCUAAUACAUGCAAGUCGAGCGAACGGACGAGAAGCUUGCUUUUCUGAUGUUAGCGGCGGACGGGUGAGUAACACGUGGAUAACCUACCUAUAAGACUGGGAUAACUUCGGGAAACCGGAGCUAAUACCGGAUAAUAUUUUGAACCGCAUGGUUCAAAAGUGAAAGACGGUCUUGCUGUCACUUAUAGAUGGAUCCGCGCUGCAUUAGCUAGUUGGUAAGGUAACGGCUUACCAAGGCAACGAUGCAUAGCCGACCUGAGAGGGUGAUCGGCCACACUGGAACUGAGACACGGUCCAGACUCCUACGGGAGGCAGCAGUAGGGAAUCUUCCGCAAUGGGCGAAAGCCUGACGGAGCAACGCCGCGUGAGGGAUGAAGGGCUUCGGAUCGGAAAACUCUGUUAUUAGGGAAGAACAUAUGUGUAAGUAACUGUGCACAUCUUGACGGUACCUAAUCAGAAAGCCACGGCUAACUACGUG
rnacentral:rRNA from 1 species